GCCUAGUUAGCUUAGUUGGUAGUGCAUUUGCCUUCUAAGCGCUAGGCCGCGGGUUCGAUUCCCGCCCGGGGCG
rnacentral:tRNA from 1 species